rnacentral:lncRNA from 1 species
GCCAGGGGCCGCGGGUCUGCGGCGCUUACAGGGACCACCCUGGGCGGAAACGCCUGGUGAGCCCUCCCGCUUGCAGCCUCGCACCGCCGGGCAAGCUAGGCUCCUCCUGCACGCACGAAGGAGGAUUCCACAGGAACGAACCACGACCCCCAAGGUUUCGCAGUUGUAAGACCGCAGCGCAGGAUCGAAACCCCGACCCGGCUGCAGAGUCCCCCUGCGGUUUGGCCGGGCCUCAAAGGCCUGAAACUCCUGACCCAUCGCCCAGCCAGAACGAGGGGACGUUUCAUGCCAGCCCUGUCACAGCCCCCAACGACGAUCCCGAAGCUUCGGUGAUUUGACCGUACCCAGAGAGAACGGCCAGCAGGCCCGCGGCUGAUGGUUGCUUCUGUGUUUCCUGCGUGGUAGGAGGGAAGCAGUGGAAGUUCCAUCUUUGUCAAAGAGGAACCUGUCUGUGACAUCUGAAACACUGCACUAAAGGCUGCCAGUGUGCCCUUCGGGCUCUGAAACCCGGCCCAGUGCAAGCAAGACUGUGGCCUGGACCAGGGCUGAGAGCUGUUUGUCAGGAGAGAUUCGGGCCAUUCCCUGGGGUUUGGGUUGGAAGGGUGAUGUUACCAAGAUUGGAAGGAAGGUCACAGUUUCCCUGAGGUGUCCCUGGCCCAACUGCAGGAGGGCUGACUGACAUCUGCCAGUAUGCACAGCCAGUCCCUGGAUGCCCAGCAUGGCCCAGGUCUGUGUGACCCUGUCUGGAGUCCCCAGACUUGCUAUGUCCCUACCCAGGCCCUGGUGGGCUCAUGACCUCCCCAGUCCAGUUCUGAUGCUGCCUGUCCCUGUGAAGCCCACUCCAGUGUUCAUAUCACCAGGGCUGGGCUCAGGCCUGUGUCCUUGCCCCUCUCUCCAGGGCAUCUUGGGUCUCCCUUGGUGACAGUACCUGCACCCUGCGGGCAGCCUGCGCUGGCUGUGAACCACACUGCCGCCUACUUCCUCUUCUAUGUUCCCGCUCUGUCCACAGUCCCCUCUGAACACUCCCGUGAAGCAGGUUCUAGGAUCAUCUCCAUUUUAUAGAAGGGGAGAUUGAGGAUCAGAGACAUGCAGUCAUUUGCCCAAGGACACACGCAGGAAGUUCAAUGGCUUCCAAUCCCAUGCUCUUUCCUCUACACCGUGCUGACUCACUUGAGGUUUUAACAGGGGGCGGCAAACACAGCUCCUCUCCCCUUGACCCUCUCACUCCCAAAGCCCAUAGGACCCUGCCGCAGGGUGGCACAUACUUAACCUCCUUGGGGGGGCCUCCAGCUCCCCUCUCUGUGUAGAGCCUACGUUCCCUGCUGUGCUGAGUCCUUGGCUCUGCUCAGCUCAGCCUGACCGGGCUGCGGUCAUUUGAAUCCCCAGUGCUGCCGCCCACCGGUCACCCUGUCCUGUCACCAGGUGGUGACUGGCCCAGUGACCCCCAAGACAACCCGCCAGAAAAGAAUCAUGCCAGGUGCUCACCUGCUCACUGCAGAGGGCUCUAAAUCUGCAACUCAGGUAACAGGGAAACAACUGAUUGGAGUUACCACCCUCAGGUUGCUAAGGCCAAGUGCCUGCCAAAUCCAGCGGCUCGGCUGGGGUGGACUCUGCCCACCAUCAGCAAAACGACAUUCACCAGGAGGCUUAGAGGUAAUUGCUCUGGUUAACUGGAUUUGCUGGGCAUCUGAAGGCUAACUUGCAGAGUCUUUCUAUCAUGCCAGACUUUAAUAGCAAAAAGUUAGAAAGACCUAAACAUUCAGCAGUAGGGGACUUGUAUAAUAAACCAUGGGUUAUUCAUAUAAUGGCACACUAUGAUGUCAUUCCAAAUGUUAUAGAAGAAUGUUCAAUGACUGGACAGAUGGUUACGAUAUAUUAAGUGAAAGUUUCAGAAAAGUAAUACAGAAUAAGCCCAUAUUGUAAAAAAAAAAAAAAAAGAUUUCCUUUUUUUUUUUGAGACGGAGUUUCGCUCUUGUCACCCAGGCUGAAGUACACUGGCGCAAUCUCGGCUCACUGCAACCUCUGCCUCCUGGGUUCAAGCAAUUCUCCUGCCUCAGCCUCCCAAGUAACUGGGAUUACAGGCGCCUGCCACCACACCCAGCUAAUUUUUGUAUUUUUAGUAGAGGUGGGGUUUCAGUGUGUUGGCCAGACUAGUCUUGAAUUCCUAACUUCAAGUGAUCCACCCACCUCGGCCUCCCGAAGUGCUGGGAUUACAGACAUCAUCCACCAGCCCAACAAUUCACUCCUGACCCAAUGAUUAAAAAAAAAAAACUUGUAGGCCGGUUGUGGUGGCUCACAAUGUACUACAUUUGUAGACAUUUUGGUGCCUUAAUGUGAGCAAGGGUUGCACAAGUUUUGAUAGGCAUGUAUUCCAGAGAUGUAUAGAAAUUCUAGUUACUGGCAUGAGCCACCCUGCCCAGCCCUAACGGUGGGCUUUUUUUUUUUGAGGCAGGGUUUCACUGUCUCCCAGGCUGGAGUGCAUGGAGAGCAGUUGUUCCAGCAUAGUGAUUACAUGGUUUUUAUAUCAUUCCAUUUUCUUUCCUUUGUUGGCUUAUUAGGUAUAACUCUUUCUUUCUUCUGGUCCACCACUCCCUGACUUCUUUCCCUCCUUUUGCUUUUUCAGUGAAGGCUUCAGGGUUUCCAGAAUACAUCUUUAUCAGUGCCAUCUAGUGACAUUAUACCUCCCCUUCUGGCCAUUAUGCUAGUGUUGUCAUGUAAUUUGAUUUUAGACAUGUUAUAAAACCCAGAAUCCAUUAUUAUUGCCUUUGUUUAAUCGGUCAAAUUAUUUUAAAAGAUUUAAAUAAUAAGAACAUGUAUAUUUAACUGUGUACAUACCGAUUUCCAGUAGUCUCCAUUUCUUUGUGUAGAUGCAGAUUUCUGUCUGGUAUCCUUGUAGUGUGGGUUGCUGAAUUCUUUCAUUUUUUUGUAUGUCUUUAAAUGUCCUUAUUUCAGUCACAUUC